GCUAACUAACUUGCCCGGGUCUAAAACGUGAGGGCCGCAGGGGCCACCGGGGUACGUAAAGGUUUUAGUGUUCUGCCAGGCUUAGGAAAUGGUCAGAUUUUGAAGCAGUAUUGGCCGUAUUGGCAGUGUUCCACGGCUAUGAUCAAAGGACAUAUUUCGGCGGUCGGCGGCUCGGCCGCCUAGUGUCUCUACAUUUGGCUACGGUGACGGCUUCUCACGCGCUGUGACAUCAACAGCCGCUGUUCGUCGAAUGUUUUUAGAGGGCCAGCUCGCUAGGUUGCUUUGUGAACUGCGCUAGUGAUUUAUUUUCGUUAUUGUAAAGACGUGCAGUGCGAAGAAUGGCGAAGUCUUGCGUUCAGAGCACCGUCCUCAGCCUGGAUACAACACAAGACGUGAAAAACGGCGAUUUUAGUGAUGAGCCAAUUACAGAAACCACUCGAAAAGAAGUUAAGGAGGGAGGUAGCAAACACAAAAAACGGAAGCACAAGCAUAAGCAUAAGCACCAUCACAGUUCCAAGGACAAGAAGCGCAAGUCGAGCGGUGAUAAAGGAGCCCCACCUUUAGAUACGGCAACCGGUCAAGACACCCUUCAAGUUAGCAACAUGAACCUUGAAGAGUUGGAAGAGCAGAAGGCAAUUUUACAGGCGAAGCUUUAUACGCUUGUCCCAAGUGACUAUGGAAGCUCAGAUGAAGAUGUUCACAAAGGCAAGAAGACCAAGUUGUCUAGUAGAAGCCAGGACAGUAGCAGCAAGAAACAUUCACGAACAUCUUCUCUAGACCACAAAGCUGAUCGAGAGGGAAAAAAUCGAGAACAUUCUCAUUCUCGCAGUGAUCACCAUAAAGAACGGGAUGGCUCUCCUCGCUCAAGCAGGAAGGCACACACUGAAAAGGCUCAGCAGGAUGCCUCCAGUCCAAACCAAAAACGGUCCAUGCAGAAGAAGGAAAGUCCUUCUUCACGACACCGGAAGAGCCCAAAGAAAAGCCCCUCAAGGCGAAGCUCUCCGUCCCGCAAGUCACCAUCACGGAAAUUGUCACCGAGUCGAAGAACCUCCCCCAGUCGCAGGGUUUCUCCUGGUCGUAAGGGGAUGUCUCCAGUCCGCAGGUGCUCUCCGAUGCGAAAGGGAUCCCCUUCACGAAGGGCUUCAUCUCCAAGGAGAGUGUCUCCUUCGCACAGGGUGUCACCUCGAAAGAUGUCCCCUUCACGUAAACUUUCACCUACUCGGAGAGCUUCACCAUCUCGGAGAAUGUCACCAGAUCGUAGGGCAUCACCAUUUCGAAGAUCACUUUCACGAAAAAGAUCCCCAGCACGAAAAGUUUCACCUAUUCGGAAAAGCUCACCUUGCAGGAAAACUUCACCAUUGAGGAAAUUGUCACCACCACGCUAUCGAGGACCAGAGCUUGAUCGACGGCGCUCAUUAUCACCGAGGCGUGCGGGUGAUCGACAUGCUCCCAGAAGUCCUUCACCUAGACGUGCAGCUCCUCGGCGGCUAUCACCACCCAGGAACAGUGGCCGGGAAGCUAGCAGGGAAGCAAACCGGGAUGUCCGGCGGGACAGCCGGGAAGCUGCACGGGAACGAAGCCCGCGACGACCGAGACCCCGUAGCCCACUGCGGCGCAGAACUGGACACUCGCGUAGCCCCCGCAGAGGAGAUCCUCGGACAUUGACUCGACGAAGUCGCUCUCCUCAUGGCAUGAGCAGAAAUGAUGAACGAUCUAGACACAAUCGGGAUCACUGGGAUCGUAGAGAUGACAAAGGCCGGCAUGCAAACAGCUCAAGAAAGAAGCCAAAAUCACCUUCCUCUUCAUCUGAUGAGAUUGAUGACAUCGAAAUCGAGGAGGAUGAAGAUGAGGAGAAGGUGAUUGAACGGCAACGGCAGCAACGACAGGAACUGCUUAAGAGGUUGGGUGUUGAGAACCAAGUUGAAAGCAGUGGAUUUUCAUCUCCAGUGCAUUCACGUGGUAGUGGGACCCACACUCCGGAUUCUGUGACCAUUGAUAACAUGGCCUCGGACAUUAAUGAAAACAGUGAAGACACAACCGAUUUUGAGGCUGCCAUAAUGGCCAAGCGGCAAAUGAUGGUUCAAGAAGGCAACAAUGAAUCGGACACAGGUCAAGAAAAAAAGAAGCAGUUGGAUAUGUUCUCGGAGGACAUGUUUGCUGAGAAUUAUUCUAGUCCCAACUCAUUUCAGAAGAUAUCAUCACGAGCUCAAGAAAAUCCCAACCUUACUGACAACUGGGAUGAUGCAGAGGGCUAUUAUCGUGUCCGGAUAGGUGAAGUACUGGACACACGAUACACUGUUUAUGGCUACACGGGUCAAGGAGUCUUCAGCAAUGUGGUGCGAGCAAGGGACAUGGCACGAGGAAAUCAGGAUGUUGCUGUGAAGAUUAUACGGAACAAUGAAGUCAUGCACCGUACAGGGCUGAAGGAACUCGAAAUGCUGAGACGUCUCAAUGAUGCUGACCCUGAUGACAAGUUCCAUUGUCUUCGGCUGUUCAGGCAUUUCUUUCACAAACAACAUCUGUGCCUUGUUUUUGAGCCACUAAGCAUGAACCUUAGAGAGGUGCUGAAGAAGUAUGGUAAAGAUGUUGGUUUGCAUAUAAAAGCUGUGCGGUCCUAUAGUCAGCAGCUGUUUUUUGCCCUCAAACUUCUGAAAAGAUGCAACAUCCUGCAUGCUGACAUCAAGCCGGACAAUAUUUUGGUAAAUGAGACGAAGCUGGUCUUAAAGCUAUGCGAUUUUGGCUCAGCUUCUCAUGUGGCUGAAAAUGACAUCACACCUUACCUUGUCAGCAGGUUUUACCGUGCACCAGAAAUAGUUCUUGGCCUGGGCUAUGACUUUGGUAUUGACAUGUGGAGUGUUGGAUGCACGUUGUACGAGCUUUACACCGGAAAGAUAAUGUUUCCUGGAAAAUCCAACAACCAGAUGCUCAAAUUCUGUAUGGAUCUCAAAGGAAAGUUUCCUAAUCGUCUUAUUCGAAAAGGAAUCUUCAGAGACCAGCAUUUUGAUGCAAACUGCAACUUUCUCUACCAUGAAGUUGACAAAGUCACAGAGAGGGAGAAAGUGGUGGUCAUGACAAACAUCAAUCAGACACGUGACUUAUCCAGUGAGUUAAUUGGACGGCAGCGGCUGCCAGAGGAUCAAGUCAAGAAAGUAGGCCAGCUGAAGGAUCUUCUGGAGAAGACUUUGAUGCUGGACCCUGUGAAACGGAUAUCGAUCAAUCAUGCCCUCGCCCACCCAUUCAUACAUGACAAGAUUUGAGUGGCAUUGGAUCUUUCCGAAGUUUGUUGGUCAGAGGACUGAAGGAAUUUUCAAGCAUGUUAUGUGGAAACAAGUGUGUGUGGCAGCUCCCGUUGCUUGCCAAUAUGUUGAGAACUGAUAGACGCUUUGGACUGCCUUCUGACAGGUGAAGCCCAAGGUGCAAGGACAGGAUUCUCCUGGCAUGAUUGGUUACCCAUUGUACUAACUGUGUUGACUCUAACUACCAUGAGUCCAAAGGCCAGGUUGAGUCUGGGGCAUUGGCGAAGGAAUUUCCGAAGGCCUCUCAGCGUUUCAGGCAAACUGGCUUUCUUGAGUGGCUCGAGCAAAAGGGUAACAUUUGAAAUGCUUUUUUUUCCUCGCUGGAUGCAACUGGAGAGGAUGGAAGACUAAAAAGAAUCAUGGCUUUGUGUUAAAAAAAUGUUCUGCAUUCAUUGCUGUGACCUGCAGCAGAAAUAUUACAGCAACCACACAUAUUUUCGUUUGUGGAUAUAUUGAAUAUAUUGAAGUGCCCCAUAGUUAUCCAAUUGUCCCAGUAGCCUGAUAUCAGGGUACUAGGACAGGUUCAUAUUUUAUAAAUGCAGUGCCAAGUAAUUGUCGAAACACCUAGCCAGCUACUGGUUUUCAUGAAAACGAUGGUACGUUGAGACAAAUCACACAUUAUCUCAAUUUCGGCUAACGACCAGCAGGAACGGUGCAUCACAAACAUAGGGGCAGAGAAAGAGAACAAUAGAUGUGUGGCUAAUAUGUGAAGUUACGAAUCAACUUGAAUACUAUUUGCUAUUUGAUUUGUAUGUGAUUUGAGAAUUGACUAUUAAAAAUUGUUGAAUA